GGGAAACAGGAGAGGGGCCCCAGGCCCCAAAACAAUAUUAUGGGGUG
rfam:Rattus norvegicus chromosome 2, whole genome shotgun sequence.